GUCGAGCGGAACGAGUUAUCUGAACCUUCGGGGAACGAUAACGGCGUCGAGCGGCGGACGGGUGAGUAAUGCCUAGGAAAUUGCCCUGAUGUGGGGGAUAACCAUUGGAAACGAUGGCUAAUACCGCAUGAUGCCUACGGGCCAAAGAGGGGGACCUUCGGGCCUCUCGCGUCAGGAUAUGCCUAGGUGGGAUUAGCUAGUUGGUGAGGUAAGGGCUCACCAAGGCGACGAUCCCUAGCUGGUCUGAGAGGAUGAUCAGCCACACUGGAACUGAGACACGGUCCAGACUCCUACGGGAGGCAGCAGUGGGGAAUAUUGCACAAUGGGCGCAAGCCUGAUGCAGCCAUGCCGCGUGUGUGAAGAAGGCCUUCGGGUUGUAAAGCACUUUCAGUCGUGAGGAAGGUAGUGUAGUUAAUAGCUGCAUUAUUUGACGUUAGCGACAGAAGAAGCACCGGCUAACUCCGUGCCAGCAGCCGCGGUAAUACGGAGGGUGCGAGCGUUAAUCGGAAUUACUGGGCGUAAAGCGCAGGCACGUGGUUUGUUAAGUCAGAUGUGAAAGCCCGGGGCUCAACCUCGGAAUAGCAUUUGAAACUGGCAGACUAGAGUACUGUAGAGGGGGGUAGAAUUUCACGUGUAACGGUGAAAU
rnacentral:rRNA from 1 species